AGCGAACGCUGGCGGCAGGCCUAACACAUGCAAGUCGAACGAAGCCUUCGGGCUUAGUGGCGGACGGGUGAGUAACACGUGGGAACGUACCUUUUGGUUCGGAAUAACGCAGAGAAAUUUGCGCUAAUACCGAAUGAGCCCUUCGGGGAAAGAUUUAUCGCCGAAAGAUCGGCCCGCGUUGGAUUAGGUAGUUGGUGUGGUAAAGGCGCACCAAGCCUACGAUCCAUAGCUGGUCUGAGAGGAUGAUCAGCCACACUGGGACUGAGACACGGCCCAGACUCCUACGGGAGGCAGCAGUGGGGAAUCUUGCGCAAUGGGCGAAAGCCUGACGCAGCCAUGCCGCGUGAAUGAUGAAGGUCUUAGGAUUGUAAAAUUCUUUUACCAGGGACGAUAAUGACGGUACCUGGAGAAAAAGCCCCGGCUAACUUCGUGCCAGCAGCCGCAGUAAUAC
rnacentral:rRNA from 1 species